AACGAACGCUGGCGGCAUGCCUAACACAUGCAAGUCGAACGAGACCUUCGGGUCUAGUGGCGCACGGGUGCGUAACGCGUGGGAACCUGCCCUUAGGUUCGGAAUAACUCCCCGAAAGGGGUGCUAAUACCGGAUAAUGUCUUCGGACCAAAGAUUUAUCGCCUUUGGAUGGGCCCGCGUUGGAUUAGCUAGUUGGUAGGGUAAAGGCCUACCAAGGCGACGAUCCAUAGCUGGUCUGAGAGGAUGAUCAGCCACACUGGGACUGAGACACGGCCCAGACUCCUACGGGAGGAAGCAGUGGGGAAUAUUGGACAAUGGGCGAAAGCCUGAUCCAGCAAUGCCGCGUGAGUGAUGAAGGCCUUAGGGUUGUAAAGCUCUUUUACCCGGGAUGAUAAUGACAGUACCGGGAGAAUAAGCUCCGGCUAACUCCGUG
rnacentral:rRNA from 1 species